rnacentral:miRNA from 1 species
GUGUGUGUGUGUGUGUGUGUGUGUGUGUGCAUGCACGUGCACGUGCAUGUGACUGCACACAUGCUCUCAC